UGGGGGAUAUUGCACAAUGGGCGAAAGCCUGAUGCAGCGACGCCGCGUGGGGGAUGAAGGCCUUCGGGUUGUAAACUUCUUUUGCUCUGAACAAGGCAUGCUAAUGGGUGUGUUGAGUGUAGGGGUUGAUUAGCGCCGGCUAACUACGUGCCAGCAGCCGCGGUAAUACGUAGGGCGCGAGCGUUGUCCGGAAUUAUUUGGCGUAAAGGGCUUGUAGGUGGCUGGUUGCGUCUGUCGUGAAAGCUCAUGGCUUAACUGUGGGUUUGCGGUGGGUACGGGCUGGCUUGAGUGCAGUAGGGGAGGCUGGAAUGCCUGGUGUAGCGGUGGAAUGCGCAGAUAUCAGGAGGAAUACCGGUGGCGAAGGCGGGUCUCUGGGCUGUUACUGACACUGAGGAGCGAAAGCAUGGGGAGCGAACAGG
rnacentral:rRNA from 1 species